UGGGUAAUAUAGAUGCAAGUUUUUAAGUAAUAGCGGUGGGCAAUUUGGUUGCAAAUUAGGGGGUUAUUUUAAAUAUUAUUUAUAAUGGCAUAAGUGGGUAAUUUUGAUGAAGAUUAGGGGGUUACUUUAGUUUAUUUUAUAUAAUGGCAGAGGUGGGUAAUUUAUAUAUAGAUUUAGGGGGUUACUUUAGGCUAUUUUCAUAAUGGCAUAGGUGGGUAAUUUUUUAGAAAACAUAAUAGAUUUAAUGGCUAUGAUGAUUUGAAUCUAUCGAUCAAUGGUCGGAUGUUUUGCUUUUUUGUGAGAAUUUCUAGGAUUUCUCUCUUUUUCUAGAGUGUCCACCUAGGAAUCCUAGGUGGCUUCACCUGGAGGCUUCAAAAGGAGCCUCCAAUUAGUAAUAGUAAGAUAUGUGACGGAGGACAAUUAGUUGGUUGCAGAGAGUAAUUGGAAUCAGCACAUCACACUUCCACACCUGGAAAAAGGUGGGGACGAUGACACUAAGCAGCAGUUGCUUGUUAAAUCGAAGUCUGGUUAUUUUAGUGAAUAACUUGAACUGAUCAGCAAACGACUAGAAGAACAACUGCUACCAAGUAAGAACAACUACAAAAAGAUUACCUGAAUACUGAAUAUGUAUCAACUGAAGAGCAGAGAGCUAUGGUAGAAAAAUGGCAAGAGAGCAAUCCAAGCAUACAUUUCAAAAAAGCAAUCCAAGCAUCCCCAGGUGGUGACCUU
rnacentral:lncRNA from 1 species